rnacentral:rRNA from 1 species
UACGUAGGGUGCGAGCGUUAAUCGGAAUCACUGGGCGUAAAGGGUGCGUAGGCGGCCGUGCAAGUCUGGCGUGAAAGCCCCGGGCUCAGCCCGGGAAGUGCGCUCGAAACUGCGCGGCUCGAGUGCCGGAGGGGAGAGUGGAAUUCCUGGUGUAGCGGUGAAAUGCGUAGAUAUCAGGAGGAAUACCGGUGGCGAAGGCAGCCCCCUGGGUCAAAACUGACGCUCAUGCACGAAAGCGUGGGGAGCAAACAGG